ACGAUGUACUUGAAGCAGAACCUUAUGCAGAUUAAGAAUGUGUGAUCCACAAUCUGUCUGCAUCUCCUGAUUGCCAGGCAAGCAUUAGCGAAGAAUCGACAUUGUUUUCAGCUGUAUGUUGGCGUGUAUUUGUUUGGUAGCUCGCAUAGUUUCGCCCGCUGUUUGCUGGUGAAGAAGCCAGUAUGCUGAGAAGUUCCUCUGCUCCCGUAGAAUAGGAUGUGUCCAUCUACUGCAAUUCAUUCAGAAAAAAACUUUUGUAACGAUCUGCAGCGGUGGAGAGGAGCACUAGCAGUCUAUCACCUACCAAUCCACUUGAAAUGUGCGGACGCAUGCAGCAAUCGCGGCUCUUCACUUGAAAUGUGUAACUGUGUAAUCAUAAGACCUGCAGAAAUAGAAGCACGCAUAUUAGGCGCCGAGGGAAAAUUCAGCAAUAAAUGUAAUCUAUGCUUCUCUUAUUCCUCUUUGAGAUCAGCAAAUCGGAAGGAGUUGGAGGAGGCGCAAUGCCCCUAACUUACCUCAAAUCCGUAAACUGCGACGAGCAGCAAAACACAACACGGACGGCUUGUCCUUCCUCCUCGUUGGUACUGGGCGAUCUUUUCGAUGUCGAUUGGGUUCCGCGACUCAAAGAUGAACUGGUGUGUGUCAUGCUAUAAUCACCUGUAGUGUAGGCAUCCGUUUGCUUCAAAUCAGCUGAUUAGCUCUUGGACUAGUGCCUGUCUGUUACUUGAAGCAGAACUUUAUGCAGAUUAAGAAUGUGUGAUCCAAUCUGUAUGCGUCUCCUGAUUGCCAGGCAAGCACUUGCGCCCCAGGAAGAAUGGAAAUUGUUUUCAGCUAUAUGUCGACGUGCAUUUGGUUGGAAGCUCGGGUAGUUUUCUCAUAACUCAUAUUGUUUGCUGGUGGAGAGGACAGUAUAGUUCAUGGUAUAAAACUCGGUCAGACAGGGCACCUCGUCACCCAAUUUUCACCCCUUGGAUCAGAACCUGACGGUGGAACACACAGUGAGAAGUGAUCCGUUAGGCUGUGACGUAUCUAUUGUAGUCAUCUAUCCGGAAAUCCAUCUACAACAAUUCAUUCAGAAAAAGAACUUGAUAACAAUCUACAUGGGUGCAGAGGAGCAUAAGACCUUCAGAAAAGUUCAGACACUUGCAUAACAAUCUUCACUUCCUAAUGCAAGAAAUCAAAUCGAAGCACAAGACCUGCAG
rnacentral:lncRNA from 1 species